rnacentral:lncRNA from 1 species
GUCUCAUGAUGCUUUAUAUCUGGAAUCCCAGAGAUCAUGUGGGUUGCCCUCUUUCCCUAAAGGAGGUACCAGACAAGAAUUUUAUGAACCAUGAGGAAGUGACUACUCAGAUGGAUGCUCUAGAAAAAGCACUGGAAAUGUAACCAUGGGUUUACCAGAGCACUCCUCAGGAAGAGAGGAAGGACAGACCAGGAAUCAGUGAUCAAAAAUGUUUUUCUUCCCAUCUGAGCAAUAGCUUCUUUGAAAGCACCAUGAAAAUCGAAUCUAUAAGUUAUCAGAAUAGUUGCAUAUACAAACACAUGGGCUCAGAAUGAGCUUUGAAAAGUGGGCAUUCUGUUUGAUGAACACCUGGUAAGUUCUUCUUCAGUUUGUGGAAUUUCUUCAGUGUCACAAACACUGUCUUAAGACUAUUCCUCCUUACUCAAG